UUUAUCCACCCAUCUCACCACAACGAACAGUGUGGUGGACAGAUAGUGAUGUAAGAUGGGAAACAAGCAGAAAAUAUGUUCUCCCUCCAAAGGUAGCGAAAUGUAGCGAAACAUACCGGAACAAAAGCAGUACCAACUACAUCAACAACAGCAACACUAACCGCCAGCACCAGCUACAAACCGAAUACCAACAUCAACGAGCUAAAAAAUAAUAAUAAAAAAAGCUCUCCCACAGUUUAACGUGUCAAUGGAGGGAGGGAGUGAGAUGAUAGACGCCAUAUUGUUGCAGAAGUUUCAGCUCGUGAGGUGCGGCCAUGCUGGGGCACCUUCGUUAGUUGACACAUCCUGCUGUAUGUAGAAUUUGGUGAACGAAGGAAUUUGAUGUCGUUGCCCUCCUACUGCGAGGUGGGCGUCGAAAGGAGAAGAUACAGUUUUGUUUUGAAGACACCUACAUCCACCCCAUCUUCUAACGCUGGAGAUGUACUACGGUGUCAGAUGUUUACUACCAGUGAACUAACGCAACACCCCUUAUUUUUCGAGCACCUUCUGGAGUAUUUGAGCGGUUCCAAGCAAUGCUGUUUUCUGCAAGUGCUCCACCCUUAUUGCAUCUCCUAUUUAUUCCACGUACUUCUCGAGAUUUUUGCUCACUGUUCCAGGGGCUUCAACAAUUACUGGUACUACUAACACCUUUUUCAUCGACCACAACUGCUUAACCUCCCCAAAAAUAUGUCAAAGAAAUCAGAAUUGACAUGAGAGCAGAGCAAACCCCCAAAACUGCUCUGCUGGGGACAGCUAGGAUUUUGAGAUUGGUACUUGGAUGUUGAAUGUCUCCCAUGAUGAUUAAUGACCAAGUAUCAAGGCUUAUAAUGUGCGGAAAGUGACCCUGUGAGACCUUUGACAGUAGGCUGCAGUCUACUCUCACAGAAUUUACCAGAACAAACAUAUCCGAGUGCUCUGAGAAGUAAAACAACAAUACUAGUAAUAAAUAAUCAGAAUAACGGAUGAUGAUGAUGAUGAUUGUUAAAAAAAGAAGAAGAAUGAGGCAUCAUUUAUGUCUAGAGACAUGCUUCCAAUAAUUCUUGAAACUUGACCAAAAAACUUUUUAUUUUAACAAUAUACUUUAAAAUUAUUCUUUAAAAUAUUCCUUACAUUUUAUAGAAUCUUCUCCGACACUUCUUCUUCUUCUUCUUCUUCUUCUUCUUCUUCUUCUUCUUCUUCUUCUUCUUC